rnacentral:rRNA from 1 species
GNAUUUAUUGGGCGUAAAGCGAGCGCAGGCGGUUAGAUAAGUCUGAAGUUAAAGGCUGUGGCUUAACCAUAGUACGCUUUGGAAACUGUUUAACUNGAGUGCAGAAGGGGAGAGUGGAAUUCCAUGNGUAGCGGUGAAAUGCGUAGAUAUAUGGAGGAACACCGGUGGCGAAAGCGGCUCUCUGGUCUGUAACUGACGCUGAGGCUCGAAAGCGUGGGGAGCGAACAGGAUUAGAUACCCUGGUAGUNCACGCCGUAAACGAUGAGUGCUAGGUGUUAGGCCCUUUCCGGGGCUUAGUGCCGCAGCUAACGCAUUAAGCACUCCGCCUGGGGAGUACGACCGCAAGGUUGAAACUCAAAGGAAUUGACGGGGGCCCGCACAAGCGGUGGAGCAUGUGGUUUAAUUCGAAGCAACGCGAAGAACCUUACCAGGUCUUGACAUCCCGAUGCCCGCUCUAGAGAUAGAGUUUUACUUCGGUACAUCGGUGACAGGUGGUGCAUGGUUGUCGUCAGCUCGUGUCGUGAGAUGUGGGGUUAAGUCCCGCAACGAGCGCAACCCUUAUUGUUAGUUGCCAUCAUUCAGUUGGGCACUCUAGCGAGACUGCCGGUAAUAAACCGGAGGAAGGUGGGGAUGACGUCAAAUCAUCAUGCCCCUUAUGACCUGGGCUACACACGUGCUACAAUGGCUGGUACAACGAGUCGCAAGUCGGUGACGGCAAGCUAAUCUCUUAAAGCCAGUCUCAGUUCGGAUUGUAGGCUGCAACUCGCCUACAUGAAGUCGGAAUCGCUAGUAAUCGCGGAUCAGCACGCUGCGGUGAAUACAUUCCCGGGCCUUGUACACACCGCCCGUCACACCACGAGAGUUUGUAACACCCGAAGUCGGUGAGGUAACCUUUUAGGAGCCAGCCGCCUAAGG